rnacentral:rRNA from 1 species
UUUAAUUGAAGAGUUUGAUCAUGGCUCAGAUUGAACGCUGGCGGCAGGCCUAACACAUGCAAGUCGAGCGGCAGCACAGAGAAACUUGUUUCUCGGGUGGCGAGCGGCGGACGGGGGAGUAAUGCCUGGGAAAUUGCCCUGAUGUGGGGGAUAACCAUUGGAAACGAUGGCUAAUACCGCAUGAUAGCUUCGGCUCAAAGAGGGGGACCUUCGGGCCUCUCGCGUCAGGAUAUGCCCAGGUGG